CUCUUAAUCCCACACCUCAGUCAUUCUUUUAGCUUUUACAGCUGUAGUUUAAGUUUUCCUAAGCUGCAGAGGGGCAGAAGAAAAUGCAGUUUCUGCAGAUUCCAAUUUAAGCCUUUUUUUUUUUUUUUUUAGAAAGGUAAUCAUGCACUUAGAAGAUGACAAAACCACACUUUACCUUAUAACUAUAUUAUGUUGAGGUGAUCUUGGGUACUCCAGGCGGCCCUUCAGCAAGAUUUUCUGAUCCAUAUUUAAGAUCAGACAAGGGCAGGCAGUGCCAGUCCCUUAGAAAGGCAGAAGUGUGCUCAGGUGCUACCAACAGGUGAGCGACCUCGUGAGACACAAAGGUGACUCAGAAGUGGAGAAGAGAGCAGGAUCCUGCAGGCACCACUGCUCACACAUGAGCACCUUGCAGCCAAAACCAUCUGUGGGUCUGCUCUGAAGUUCUUCUCAGCCAAGAUGUCCCUCGAGCAUUUCUGGGAGAAGGAAUGAGAGAAUUUUAUGAAUCAGCCUGGCAGUUAAUGGGAAAAGCACUCUCCUUCUGAUUGAAUUACAAUUCAGCAAGAGGAUAUGUCAAAACAUUUUUGUUUUUCUCAAUUAAGGGAGGAGCAAAAUAUUUCAGAUUAACCCAGACAAUUUGCUUGACCUGAAACAAAAUUAUUAAUUUUAUAUUUGGAUUUGUAAAACUUUUGAUCCACUUCCUCCUCUUUAAGAGUAUUAAAAAAAAGGCUUUCUAGGAAAGGAAAUUUUCCUGCAGAAAAGUGUAUCAAAAUUAAAGUGUUUUAAACUGAAAAAAAAAAACAAAAACCAAACCUGAUCUAACCUUAAAAGAACAUUUGGUGUUCUCAAUAUUUGUCAGUGUGCAUAGAAAAGAAAUUAAAUAGUAUUUCUACUUUUCUAUCCUCUGGAUUACUUAAGCUCAAGAGUUAAUGAGAACAUUUUUCUGGCUGUGUUUUAGGGUCUAAAAAUUUCUCUGCAGUAAACUUUUACUGAGGUGCCAGUGCUCUUGUCCCAACAACAUUCUGUUUGAGUGAACUUAUUCCAGGUUCACACCACCACACUUUGAAGAGUGUAAGGCUUUGGAAAUCAGUGAUGUCUGCUUUGUGUUCCUGUGACAAUGGUUUGCAGUUGCCAAAACUACAAUCCUUUUCCACAAUAUAAAUAAAAAUUGGACAUGCAGGGUUAAGAUUAGAUGCCAUUUUGUUCCCCUUCAGCUCUUGUAAACAGCAGGCAUUUGGAAGAAAAAGGAGGGAUCAGGAAUCUAGAAAUCAGGAAAAGAGAUAACAUGUCCUUAGUAGGGGGAAGAAAUACAAAACCUGGAUUUCCAGUGUGAUAGCAAGCAGCCUUCUGAAUCAACAAUGUCAAAAAAAUCACUGCGUUCCACAGAGGAAAUGGGCAUUUGACAGAAAAUCUUUCCAGAACUUUAAGUUUUCAUGGGAAAUUGUGCCCUACAAGUCCAAAAGCUCUCUGUUCAAACACUCUGACAUGGUGCUCUCCUAGGUCAGAGGAGCUUCCCAAUCAUCAGAUAUUGUAUUUGCAGGGUGCCCAGAUGAAGGAAGGAAUGAUGAAUCUGACUCCAUGUUCUCAGAAGGCUAAUUUAUUAUUUUAUGAUACCAUAAUAUAUUAAAGAAUACUAAGCAAAACUGUACUAAAGAACACAGAAAGGAUACUUACAGAAGGCUGAAAAGCUAAUAAUGAAACUUGUGACUCUCUCUCCAGAGUCAGACACACCUUGACCCUGAUUGACCAAUAAGUCAAAACAAUUCACAUUAAACCAAUGAAACAAUCACCUGUUGGAUAAACAAUCUCCAACCACAUUCCAAAGCAGCAAAACACAGGAGAAGCGAAUCAGAUAAUGACUGUUUUCCUUUUCCUCUUGAGGCUUCUCAGCUUCCCAGGAGAGGAAUCCUAGCAGAAGGGAUUUUUCAGAAAGUAAGAAUGUGACAAUCAGAUCCUCAUCUCCAGGUGCUGGCGAGGCCAGAGCCACGAUUCCUUGGGAGGUGAUGGCACUGGGGUGACGCGGAUUUCCCUGCGCGGUUAACGCAGCGCUCGGGUGCGCGAAUAACC